rnacentral:rRNA from 1 species
GCCUGUCUCAGUUCGGAUUGGAGUCUGCAACUCGACUCCAUGAAGCUGGAUUCGCUAGUAAUCGCGCAUCAGCCAUGGCGCGGUGAAUACGUUCCCGGGCCUUGUACACACCGCCCGUCAAGCCAUGGAAGCCGGGAGUGCCUGAAGUGUGCAACCGCAAGGAGCGCCCUAAGGUAAAACUGGUGACUGGGGCUAAGUCGUAACAAGGUAAC